rnacentral:rRNA from 1 species
UACAGAGGUCUCAAGCGUUGUUCGGAUUCACUGGGCGUAAAGGGUGCGUAGGCGGGUCUUUAAGUCAGGGGUGAAAUCCUGGAGCUCAACUCCAGAACUGCCUUUGAUACUGAGGAUCUUGAGUACGGGAGAGGUGAGUGGAACUGCGAGUGUAGAGGUGAAAUUCGUAGAUAUUCGCAAGAACACCAGUGGCGAAGGCGGCUCACUGGCCCGUAACUGACGCUGAGGCACGAAAGCGUGGGGAGCAAACAGG